rnacentral:lncRNA from 1 species
AGCUGUCAAGGUGCAAACUGAUUUGAUUGUUUCAUUGUCUGACAUGUGUUUUCCCAAGAACUAAUUAUUUCCUUGAAUUAAAUAAUUACAGUAUAUUUUCAAGAUAUUAAACCUUGCAUGUUUUGGAUACAGCUGCCCUUAAAAUGAAUGGGAGAUUUACUUAGCUCCAGAUCAGGCAAAAACUGAAUUCAGACGUUAAAAUUUGGCUCCGCUUUGCUGUCCUGUGUCUGAAAUAUGUCGCCUAACUACUUUUUCCUGGGUGCUUUCCCUAUCGAUGAUUAUCAGGCACUGUUUGUACAGCUGAAGUAGGAAUACAAAAUGCUACACACGUCUAGUUAAAGGUUUUUUUUAAAUGUAAGGUAUACAAUAUUAGUUGAAGAAUAGCGCGACCCUGAAAUUAAAGGUGAAAUUCCGGCCCCACUGAAGUUAAUGGGAGUUUGCCAUUGAUUUCAAGGGAGCUCGGGUUUCCCCCAAAGAUUGUAUCCUAGUGCAUACACUGGGAUGCUAAGAUUGCACAUUCGACCUUAACUUGAGCAUUUCCCGGCUGUGAGUGGUUAGAUGUACCACCCUAAUAUUGCAUGGGUGUAGGGUGUCUCCCCUACUAUUAAAUAUGCAUGCGGCGUGGGUGCUUUACACGUCUUUACUGCACCCUAUGUCAUCUCUCUUCAUUUCGGAGCUGCGUUUGCAGAGACAGGGAGCAGGCUAGUAUGGAGAGAGAGAGGGUGCGGUGAGGCAGGAGAGUUGCAGAUGGGGAGGAAACUUAGAGAUGAGACUGGGAGGUACCAGAGUCAGGAAAUGAGAACAGCUCCCGCAGCAGGGAGAGAGCUAAGCCCCGAGCUCGCUUUCCCCCAGGUUAGCGCAGCGUAGGGCCCGAGGAGAACUGCUAGGGGAAGCCACCUACCCGAGAGAGAAGCAGACAUAUGCCAGCAACUCCGGGUAACCGCCUCCCGCUCACCUGCAGCUCCCCACCCCGAGGAGCAAACACAGCUGGCCCGGCCGGGUUCGCUCUGCAAAAGCGCAACCCACGGGGAGAGCGGCCCGAGUCGGUCUCGGAGGAGGAAGGCUCUGCCGGCCCCUGGGAGCGAGGAGGGGGCAAAGCCCUGCCGAAGAGCAGCCGGGGGGCUGCUGCGGGGGCUGCCGGCCCAGGGGAGGAAUCGGCCUUUCCUCCAAGGCCCCCCAGGCGCGUCUGCCCGCAGGAACCAGGGAUUCCCCCUUUGCUGCUACUUUGCAACUGUCUCCCCCGCCGGCCAGCCGGGCUGACUCCCCUCCCGGUCCCUCACCAUGUUAGACGGGUUGAAAAUGGAAGAGAAUUUGCAGAACGCGCUGGAGACCUCGGCCCCGUUCUCCUCCUUGCUGGGCAGAGCCGUGAGCCCCAAGUCGGUGUGCGAGGGCUGCCAGAGGGUGAUCUCGGACCGGUUUCUGCUGCGGCUCAAUGACAGCUUGUGGCACGAGCAGUGCGUGCAGUGCGCCUCUUGCAAGGAGCCUCUGGAGACCACCUGCUUCUACCGCGACAAGAAGCUCUACUGCAAGCUCGACUAUGAGAAGUAAGUUGAGCGCGAUCGCCUCCGCCGCGGGCGGCAGGACGGACGGACAGAUCGGCCGGCCAGCCCCCACCCCGGUCCUUUCAGAGCGCGAUCUCUGCCCGGAGAAAGGCCUGUCCUGGAGGCCGCAGGUCCGGGUCUGAUCCGCGGGGAGAAGCGAUCUGAGAACGGAGCUGCGGGGCCGGGGGAGCGAGGGCCGGU